AUCGGUCAUCACGCAUCACGCAUCUAUUCGGCAGCACAGAGAAACUUGUUUCUCAGGGUGGCGAGCGGCGGACGGGUGAGUAAUGCCUGGGAAAUUGCCCUGAUGUGGGGGAUAACCAUUGGAAACGAUGGCUAAUACCGCAUGAUGCCUACGGGCCAAAGAGGGGGACCUUCGGGCCUCUCGCGUCAGGAUAUGCCCAGGUGGGAUUAGCUAGUUGGUGAGGUAAGGGCUCACCAAGGCGACGAUCCCUAGCUGGUCUGAGAGGAUGAUCAGCCACACUGGAACUGAGACACGGUCCAGACUCCUACGGGAGGCAGCAGUGGGGAAUAUUGCACAAUGGGCGCAAGCCUGAUGCAGCCAUGCCGCGUGUGUGAAGAAGGCCUUCGGGUUGUAAAGCACUUUCAGUAGGGAGGAAGGUGGUAGUGUUAAUAGCGCUAUCAUUUGACGUUACCUACAGAAGAAGCACCGGCUAACUCCGUGCCAGCAGCCGCGGUAAUACGGAGGGUGCGAGCGUUAAUCGGAAUUACUGGGCGUAAAGCGCAUGCAGGUGGUUUGUUAAAUCAGAUGUGAAAGCCCCGGGCUCAACCUGGGAAUUGCAUUUGAAACUGGCAAACUAGAGUACUGUAGAG
rnacentral:rRNA from 1 species